AUGGUGGCGACACGCCAAGGCUGGAGUACCCCGCUCCCCCGUCCUUCUCUCGCCGGCGUGGGAGCUCGUGGACGCCGAGGCGCAUGGACCCCGGGGCGUCCUCCUCCUCGUCCGACCGCUCUUCCGGCUCUCCCUGCCUCCGCCCCGUCAAGCCAGAGCCCCAGGACACGCCGGUCAGCCGGCGCACCCAUAGCUCCAGCGUCCGCAUCUAGGACUCCACCCCCGCCUCUGGCCGCCUCGUCCUCGUCAGGCCGAAGCCGGAGCCCGGCCUCCCUGCGGAGUACGAGAUAG
rnacentral:rRNA from 1 species